rnacentral:rRNA from 1 species
GGUUAAGCGACUAAGCGUACACGGUGGAUGCCCUGGCAGUCAGAGGCGAUGAAGGACGUGCUAAUCUGCGAUAAGCGUCGGUAAGGUGAUAUGAACCGUUAUAACCGGCGAUUUCCGAAUGGGGAAACCCAGUGUGAUUCGUCACACUAUCAUUAACUGAAUCCAUAGGUUAAUGAGGCGAACCGGGGGAACUGAAACAUCUAAGUACCCCGAGGAAAAGAAAUCAACCGAGAUUCCCCCAGUAGCGGCGAGCGAACGGGGAGCAGCCCAGAGCCUGAAUCAGUGUGUGUGUUAGUGGAAGCGUCUGGAAAGGCGUGCGAUACAGGGUGACAGCCCCGUACACAAAAAUGCACAUAUUGUGAGCUCGAUGAGUAGGGCGGGACACGUGGUAUCCUGUCUGAAUAUGGGGGGACCAUCCUCCAAGGCUAAAUACUCCUGACUGACCGAUAGUGAACCAGUACCGUGAGGGAAAGGCGAAAAGAACCCCGGCGAGGGGAGUGAAAAAGAACCUGAAACCGUGUACGUACAAGCAGUGGGAGCACGCUUAGGCGUGUGACUGCGUACCUUUUGUAUAAUGGGUCAGCGACUUAUAUUCUGUAGCAAGGUUAACCGAAUAGGGGAGCCGAAGGGAAACCGAGUCUUAACUGGGCGUUAAGUUGCAGGGUAUAGACCCGAAACCCGGUGAUCUAGCCAUGGGCAGGUUGAAGGUUGGGUAACACUAACUGGAGGACCGAACCGACUAAUGUUGAAAAAUUAGCGGAUGACUUGUGGCUGGGGGUGAAAGGCCAAUCAAACCGGGAGAUAGCUGGUUCUCCCCGAAAGCUAUUUAGGUAGCGCCUCGUGAAUUCAUCUCCGGGGGUAGAGCACUGUUUCGGCAAGGGGGUCAUCCCGACUUACCAACCCGAUGCAAACUGCGAAUACCGGAGAAUGUUAUCACGGGAGACACACGGCGGGUGCUAACGUCCGUCGUGAAGAGGGAAACAACCCAGACCGCCAGCUAAGGUCCCAAAGUCAUGGUUAAGUGGGAAACGAUGUGGGAAGGCCCAGACAGCCAGGAUGUUGGCUUAGAAGCAGCCAUCAUUUAAAGAAAGCGUAAUAGCUCACUGGUCGAGUCGGCCUGCGCGGAAGAUGUAACGGGGCUAAACCAUGCACCGAAGCUGCGGCAGCGACGCUUAUGCGUUGUUGGGUAGGGGAGCGUUCUGUAAGCCUG